rnacentral:lncRNA from 1 species
AAGGGAAAGCAGAAGCAAAGGUAUCAAGCAGGCGAAAGUCACCAACAGCCGUUCCAGCCAGAGCUUCGCCAUCGUCUCCAACGCCUCUAACAGAACAGGUACGCGGUUUCUUCUUCUCGCACUAUCUCAACUAAAUGGCUUUUACACUGUGCAAGUGAAUUAAUUCACUUGCACAGCGUAGCAACACGCGUGUUGCUUAGCCCAGCCGGGCCACUGGGCCGGGGCGGGCAGGCUGGGCGUAGCCCAGCCCAUGUGGGCUGAGCUGGGCCCAGCCCAAAAAUGUAAAUAAAAAAAUAAAAAAUAAUAAAAAAAUAAAAUUUGUGUAUGUAAAAAAAAAUAUAAAUAUGAAUUUAUUAUUUUUUUUAUUCAUUGACGCCAGAGUCAGAAUAAAAAUACCGAUUCAAAUUUAUUUCAUUGUAUUUUAUUUAGAUAUAUAAAAAUAAAAAAUGUGCAUAAAAAAAUAACAUAAGAUAAAAUAAAAUAAAUUUAUUGAUUUAUUCACUGACGCUAGAGUCAAGAAUAAAAAUACCAAUGUAAAUUUAUUUUAUUUUGUUUUAUUGAAUUUUGCUUUUAUUUAGCUACAUAAAAAUAAAAAUAAAGUGUAUGAGUAAAAAUAAAUUGAUUUUUAUUUGUUUAUUCACUAACGCCAGAGUCAUGAAUAAAAAAAAAAGAAAUAAUGAUUUAAAUUUAUUCAUUUUGAUACCUACGUAAUAUUUACCAACGCCAGAGUUGGAAAUAUCCAUAGUUGAAUAUUCACUGACGCCAAAGUCAGGAAUAUUACACGCAAACCAUCAUAGUAUAAACCAACAAAAAUAUUAGCAAUCAAUAACAAAGAUCAUCAAUGCAGCCUGCCUUAGGCAGGACGUUUAAGGGGUGAUAAUAUCUUCACUUUUGCGUAACCAGUCCUGUACCAUAGAAUCUCUAUUGACCAGUUAGGGUUCCUAGUGACCAUAAUACUAGGUGGCGACUCCUUAAACAAGACCGUUCCCCAUCAAAGAAUAGGAUGCCAGAAAUCCAUUCUUUUCCAAUCGAUUUAAUUUUUAAGGUCACCUCGAUGUCCAGGUGUGACAUUCUUGAACAAGUACCACCAUCAAAUUUCAUAAACGAACAUGCCAACAUGACCAUCUGAUAACCUCACACUCUUAAGGAGCUCGUUGCUUCAAACUUCAACCAACAACCACUUUAUAUUAAUUUUUCACAAAUUGAUGUUCCUUGUAAGCUCAAGUCUAGUUUUAUUAGUUUACUUUCAUCUUUCCAUGGCUUUGCAGGUGAUGAUCCCCAUAAGAAUCUUAAGAAAAUUAUGUUGUUUGCUCAAGUAUGAAACAUGUUAGGGUUACAGAGGAACAAAUAAAGUUGAAAGCCUUUGCUUUCUCUUUGAAGGAAUUGACAAAAGAUUGGUUGUAUUAUAUGUCCUCUGGAUCCAGGACCUCAUGGGAAGAGAUGUAAAGAAAUUUCUUUGAAAAAUACUUUCUUGCAUCUAGAGUUGAAAGUAUAAGAAAAGAAAUUUAAGGAAUAAGGCAAAUGAACGAGGGAUCCUUGCAUGAGAAUUAUGAAAGAUUUAAGAAACUAUGUGUUAGCUACCCUUAACAUCAAAUUUCUAAGAAACUUCUCAUUCAAUAUUUUUAUGAGGGGUUUAAUCCAUAAGAUAAGAGCACGAUAGACGCAUCUAGUAGAGGAUUUUUAAUUGACAAAACACUUGAGGCUGCUAUACAAUUGAUAUCCAACAUGGCUGCCAAUACUCAAUAAUUUAGCACAAGGAUUAAUGCACUUAUUAAAUGCGUUAAUGAGGUAAAUUCUUCCAACUUUGAGCAAAGAUUAGAUACUCUUACAUCCUUUGUGUGUUCUUUUGUGACAAAUAACUCACAACAGGUUAAAAAAUUGUGAAGUUUGCAUGAUGCAAGGGUAAGUUACCGAUUCUUGCCCAACUUCUUAAGAUGACUCCACAAAUCAAGUUAAUGUUAUAGGAAUAAUCCCAUACCCACAACACAAAUAUGAUCCAUAUUUUAAUACUUACAAUCCUAGAUAGAGGGAUCAUCUUAACUUGAGAUAUGAGAAUCAAUGAGGUAGUUUUGCAUCAUAAAAUUAAGAUGAUAACCAAAGACAUAUCCAAUAUCAAACUAGACUUCCACCAUCCCAAAUGAAUCAAUCCAAGAAUGGCACGCCAAUGGGUGAUAUGAAGGAGAUGAUGAAAUCAUUUACUUCUAAUACCUUGAUAAUGCAAUAAAAUAAGAUGCAAUUUUAGCAAGAAAUAAGGUUAAGUAUCCAAAACUUUGAUAAACAAGUAGGAAAACUUUGAUAAACAAGUAUAAACAAGUAGGACAACUUGUUAAUGAUGUUGGUAAGUUGGAAUCACAAGGUUCUGGAAAGUUGCAUUUGCGAGUUAUGCCUAAUAGGGAGAAUGCAUACAUUAUCACAUUAAGGAGUGAAAAAUCAUUGGCAGGAUUUGAAAAGUACAUUGAUGACUUCAAGGUUGAAAAACAAAUUGAGGUUGAAACUUCCCUAUUUGUAGCUGAACCUUAUAAGACUUCUCUAAACAUAAUCGAACCAAUUUUCAUGACUUCCAAGGUAGAUUCUCAACCUUUCAAUACCUCUUUUAAGCUAAAUCAACCUUUUUUCCUUUAAGUUCUUCUAGGUCAUGAAAAAAGAAGAAGCAAGAGAAGGAGAUUUUAGAAAUGUUUAGGAAGGUUGAAAUCAAUAUUCCACUUUUGGACGCAAUUAAGCAUAUCCAUCGCUAUGCAAAAUUUGUUAAAGAGCUGUGUACAAUAAAAAUGAAUGAGAAACCCAUAGGUAAUGAAACCAUAAAUAUAAGGGAGAAUGUAUUUGCUAUUAUUCAAAAGAAACUCCCACUCAAAGAAAAGGAUAAAGGUUCAUUUUUUAUUCCUUGCCAAAUUGGUAAUAUAAGUUUUUAAAAGGCUAUCUAUGACUUAGGAACUUCAAUUAAUGUAAUGCUAAGAUCUAUUUAUGAAACUCUUAACCUUGGUCCUUUAAUCAAAACCGGUAUUAUUAUUCAACUUGUUAAUCAUUCAUAUGUUUAUUCUAUUGGUGUGCUUGAGGAUGUGUUGAUGCAAGUUGGAUGUAUGAUAAUUCCUACUAAUUUUUACAUUAUUGAUAUGGAAGAUGCAACUCACCUAAUUCAUCACCCAUUCUUUUAGGAAGACCACUCCUUAGAACAACUAAAACUAAUAUUGAUGUGCAUGUGAGAACAUUAACUAUGGAGUUUGAUGCUAAAAUAGUUAAAUUCAUUAUUUUUAAUGCCAUGUGAUUUCCUAGUGAUGUAUAUUAUGUUUUGUGCUUAGGUAUUAUAGAUUUUUUUAUGCAAUAAAUAUUUGAUUUGAGUAGUGAUGAUAAAUUGAAAGUGAUGAUAAGCCAAAGUUUGGAUUCGACUUGUACAAAAAGAAGGUCACCUAUUGAUAAUGAUUUGAUUGAUUUAGUUAUGGCAUUGUAGUUUUGCAAACCAUGCUGCAUAAGUAUAACAAGGUUUUUUAUGAUUCACUUAUCUCUUACAAGAGGCUUUUACCUUUUGUUUUUCAGGCACCCAAACUUGAAUUGAAACAUUUUCCCGAUCACUUAAAGUAUAUCUUUAAGGUAACUGUUGUACGUGUGCGGCGUCGCAGCGAAAAAAUUCACUCUCAAAUCCUAGGUGUUGGUAUCAUGAGAAAAAUCAGAAAAAAUGG